GAGGUUGUGGCUCGGUGGUGGAGCACUUGCCUGGCAUGUGUGAGGCCCUGGGUUCGAUCCCCAGCACCACA
rnacentral:tRNA from 1 species